GACGAACGCUGGCGGCGUGCCUAAUACAUGCAAGUAGAACGCACAGUUUAUACCGUAGCUUGCUACACCAUAGACUGUGAGUUGCGAACGGGUGAGUAACGCGUAGGUAACCUGCCUGGUAGCGGGGGAUAACUAUUGGAAACGAUAGCUAAUACCGCAUAAUAUUAAUUAUUGCAUGAUAAUUAAUUGAAAGGUGCAAUUGCACCACUACCAGAUGGACCUGCGUUGUAUUAGCUAGUAGGUGAGGUAACGGCUCACCUAGGCGACGAUACAUAGCCGACCUGAGAGGGGUAUCGGCCACACUGGGACUGAGACACGGCCCAGACUCCUACGGGAGGCAGCAGUAGGGAAUCUUCGGCAAUGGACGAAAGUCUGACCGAGCAACGCCGCGUGAGUGAAGAAGGUUUUCGGAUCGUAAAGCUCUGUUGUAAGAGAAGAACGGGUGUGGGAGUGGAAAGUUCACACUGUGACGGUAUCUUACCAGAAAGGGACGGCUAACUACGUG
rnacentral:rRNA from 1 species